UUGAAAGCAAAUUGUCGUGAAUUCCGAGUCGGCCGAGGUAAACUUUUCCCUAGCGUCUACCUACCUUGGUUUGAACUAGAUUGAGAGACGAAGUAAAAGAAAGAGAGAGAGAGAGAGAGAGAGAGGAGAGAGUAUUGUUACUCGACGAAGAAAUAAAAAGUAAGCUCGUAUCGAAAGUAGAUUCGCUUAAACAAACCCCUCAGGACGAUGCAAUCUCUAUUUUCCUCGAUAGUUCGAAAAGAAAAGGAAAAAGAAGAUUAUUCUGGUGCUCCGGAAAAAGAGUCAGUUCGUUAUUAGAAAAUAUCAUCGAGACCCGUGGAAAAGAGCGAAGUUUUAAAAGGAUGAAAGGAUCUAACAAAGAAUUACACAUAUCGUAAUAACGACUUGGUUUCUACGGUGGGAUAAGGGAAGAAAAUUUAUACGAACAGUUUGACGUGACAAAUGAAAAAAGGAAGAAAGAAAAAAAAAAGAAAUGGAAAAGAAGGAAAAAAAAAAAGAAAAAAGAAAAGGGCAUUCGGUUAAAUAGCGUCGAGCGUCGAACAAGAGAAAAGAGUCCUUUAUCGAUACAUACAUACCUACGUAGAUAUUCUUAUAUACGGGCUUCUGAAAAUGAGGAAGGAAAUGAGAGAAUAGUAAAAAAAAAAAAGAAGAAAGAAAAAGGAAAAGGAAAGAAAAGAAAAAAGAAAGAGAGCAAAAAUCAAGAAACAAAAUAAAAAACGAAGAAGAAUAUAAAGAGAAAGCUGAGGCCCCAGAGGGAGAAUUUCGUUAUGGUAUCGCAAAAACAAACAACCUCGAAUCCGAAAUCGUAUUUGAAAUAUAAAAUCUGCGCUCGCUUUGCGUCGAUACGCAACGCAUUGUUUACUAUCCUAAUAUUGCUAAAACCAUUCUUUUUUUCCUUUUCAAAUAGUUUUUGUUUCGCGCGUUCCUAUCUUCCUCUUCAUUUCUUUCUCUUCCUCGCUUUGAUUUUAUUUUUCAAUUCUUUUUUGUUUGAUCAUCGACGAGUUCCCUACGUUUUCAUUAAUACACCCUAUGAAUAGAGGCCAUACGGCACGUAUCGUUCGUUCGUAUCGCGUAUUAUACCUAUACUCAUGCAGGGUGGUCUAUUGAGAGGCGGAUAAACUGUAUCUCCGGACUGCUCGAUGAAGGAAGGAAGGAAGGAAGGAAGGAAGGAAGGAAGGAAGGAAGGAAGAAGAGAGAGAGAGAGAGAGAGAGAGAGAUAAAAAAUAUAUACGAAUGGCUGGGAUAGUGAUUUACAUGGAGCAUUGGCGUGGCGAUAUUCACUGGCCAUUCACGUUUCAAUGCGUCUACGAGGAAGGAAAUUUUCAACAAUCUCGUACGAGAUUCUCUUAUGAAAGCGCCUGAGAAUGAGCGUUCAUUAGAAUUCUGUAUUUAACGAAAUAACAAGAUAGAAAGACAGAGAUAGAGAUAGAUAGAAAUAGAGAGAGCGAGAGAGAAAGAGAGAGAGAGAGAGAGAGAGAGA